UUUUUUUUUUUGGGAAAUCUGGCCGCAACGAGUAAGAGGGUCGCAAUGGUUAGCGUUGAAGACUUUGGGCGUAGGCCCGGUUGAAGCUUCCAUUGGUGCAGAUCUUGGUGGUAGUAGCAAAUAUUCAAGUGAGAUCCUUGAAGACUGAAGUGGAGAAGGGUUCCACGUGAACAGCAGUUGAAUGUGGGUCAGUCGAUCCUAAGAUAUUGGCUAGUGCCGUUUUUUAAAAUAAAAUAGAGGAAUGGAGGUGUAAUCCAUCUGAUAAAUCGAAAGGGAAACGGGUUAAUAUUCCCGUACCUGGACACGGAGAUAAAUGCUCAUUGUGAGAAUUUAGCGCGGUAACGCAAAUGAACUCGGAAACAUUGAGGAAAGCCCGAGCCAGAGUUCUCUUUUCUGGUUAAGGAACGGACUCCCUGGAAUCGGUUCAGCCGGAGAUAGGGAUGUUGUUUCCGUAAAGCGCCACGGUUCCUGUGGUGUCUCGUGCGCUUUGUUCGAUCCAUGAAAAUCCGAGGGAAGCUAUUUGAAUUUCGUGCCAGAUCGUACCCAUAUCCGCAGCAGGUCUCCAAGGUGAACAGCCUCUAGUCGAUAGAAUAAUGUAGGUAAGGGAAGUCGGCAAAUUAGAUCCGUAACUUCGGGAUAAGGAUUGGCU
rnacentral:ncRNA from 1 species